rnacentral:lncRNA from 1 species
ACAAUUACUUUUUGUUAAACAACUCAUUCAUGAACACUAUGAUGACAUACGAUCAUAUGAUAGAGGGAAUCACAUGCUUCAAAAUAAAAGUCAUAGCAUACCUUCAAUAAUUUUUCUUGCUGCUGCAAUGUCCCGCCACAAUUUUUAGAUAUUUCCAUUGCUGAUGCCGUCGACUAUUACGUUUUUCUAGAUAAAAUAAUUAAUUUUAUAUAUUGUACGUAUAUAUUAAAAAGAAGAUUUCAUAUACGCAUCUAUUAGUCCUCAUAUGAAUUUUCUAUUUUAUUGGUUACAGUACAUAAUAUUCUAAAUAUAUUUUAAAUGACCUGAUUUUUUCAGUUUUGCAAAAUGUUU